AAACGGUGAUUAAUACUGGAUACUCCCUACGGGGGAAAGUUUUUCGCUAAAGGAUCAGCCUAUGUCCUAUCAGCUUGUUGGUGAGGUAAUGGCUCACCAAGGCUAUGACGGGUAUCCGGCCUGAGAGGGUGAUCGGACACACUGGAACUGAGGCACGGUCCAGACUCCUACGGGAGGCAGCAGUAGGGAAUAUUGCUCAAUGGGGGAAACCCUGAAGCAGCAACGCCGCGUGGAGGAUGAAGGUUUUAGGAUUGUAAACUCCUUUUGUUAGAGAAGAUUAUGACGGUAUCUAACGAAUAAGCACCGGCUAACUCCGUGCCAGCAGCCGCGGUAAUACGGAGGGUGCAAGCGUUACUCGGAAUCACUGGGCGUAAAGAGUGCGUAGGCGGGGUAAUAAGUCAGAUGUGAAAUCCUGUAGCUUAACUACAGAACUGCAUUUGAAACCGUUACUCUGGAGUGUGGGAGAGGUAGGUGGAAUUCUUGGUGUAGGGGUAAAAUCCGUAGAGAUCAAGAGGAAUACUCAUUGCGAAGGCGACCUGCUGGAACAUUACUGACGCUGAUG
rnacentral:rRNA from 1 species